GGCGCCCACCGGGAUCUACACUCUUUCCCUACACGACGCUCUUCCGAUCUCGUCGCCCGGAGUUGGAUUCUGAGACACGAAUCCAGGCCCUACGGGGCGCAGCAGUCGCGAAAACUUGUCAAUGGGGGAAACCCCGAACAGGGAAGUCCAAGUGCAUGCGUUUUACGUAUGCUGUUCGGUUGUCUAAAACACAGCUGAAGUAAGGGCUGGGUAAGACAGGUGCCAGCCGCCGCGGUAAUACCGGCAGCUCAAGUGGUAAUCGUUAUUAUUGAGCCUAAAGCGUCCGUAGCCGGUUUGGUAAACCCUCGGGUAAAUCGGGCCGCUUAACUGUCCGAAUUUCGGGGGGACUGCCAGACUUGGGACCGGGAGAGGUCAGAGGUACUUCAGGGGUAGGGGCUAAAUCCUGUAAUCCUUGAAGGACCACCAGUGGCGAAGGCGUCUGACUAGAACGGAUCCGACGGUAAGGGACGAAACCCUGGGGCGCAAACCGGAUUAGAUACCCGGGUAGUCCAGGGCGUAAACGCUGCAGGCUUGGUGUUGGGGACCCCACGAGGGUGCUCAGUGCCGGAGUGAAGAUGUUAAGCCUGCCGCUUGGGGAGUACGGCCGCAAGGAUGAAACUUAAAGGAAUUGGCGGGAGAGCACAGCAACGGGAGGAGCGUGCGGUUCAAUUGGAUUCAACGCCGGAAAACUCACCGGGAGCGACGAUUACAUGAAGGUCAGGCCGACGACUUUACCUGAUUUUUCGAGAGGUGGUGCAUGGCCGUCGUCAGUUCGUACCGUAAGGCGUUCUGUUAAGUCAGAUAACGAACGAGACCCUCACCCUUAAUUGCCACCCCAUUCUUCGGAGUGGGCGCACAUUAAGGGGACCGCUGGCGCUAAGUCAGAGGAAGGAGAGGGCGACGGUAGGUCAGUAUGCCCCGAAUCUCCCGGGCUACACG
rnacentral:rRNA from 1 species